rnacentral:rRNA from 1 species
ACGGGAGGCAGCAGUCGGGAAUCUUGCGCAAUGGGCGAAAGCCUGACGCAGCAACACCGUGUGGGCGACGAAGGCCUUCGGGUCGUAAAGCCCUGUUGUUGGGGACGAAGGACGAAGGGUUAAUAGCCCCUAGUCUGACGGUACCCUUCGAGGAAGCCCCGGCUAACUACGUGCCAGCAGCCGCGGUAAUACGUAGGGGGCGAGCGUUGUCCGGAAUUAUUGGGCGUAAAGAGCGUGUAGGCGGUUCGGUAAGUCUGCCGUGAAAACCUGGGGCUCAACCCCGGGCGUGCGGUGGAUACUGCCGGGCUAGAGGGUGGUAGAGGCGAGUGGAAUUCCCGGUGUAGCGGUGAAAUGCGCAGAUAUCGGGAGGAACACCAGUAGCGAAGGCGGCUCGCUGGGCCAUUCCUGACGCUGAGACGCGAAAGCUAGGGGAGCGAACAGGAUUAGAUACCCUGGUA